GCAGUCGAACGAUGAUUACCUAGCUUGCUGGAUAUGAUUAGUGGCGGACGGGUGAGUAACAUUUAGGAAUCUGCCUAGUAGUGGGGGAUAGCUCGGGGAAACUCGAAUUAAUACCGCAUACGACCUACGGGUGAAAGGGGGCGCAAGCUCUUGCUAUUAGAUGAGCCUAAAUCAGAUUAGCUAGUUGGUGGGGUAAAGGCCCACCAAGGCGACGAUCUGUAACUGGUCUGAGAGGAUGAUCAGUCACACCGGAACUGAGACACGGUCCGGACUCCUACGGGAGGCAGCAGUGGGGAAUAUUGGACAAUGGGGGCAACCCUGAUCCAGCCAUGCCGCGUGUGUGAAGAAGGCCUUUUGGUUGUAAAGCACUUUAAGCAGGGAGGAGAGGCUAAUGGUUAAUACCCAUUAGAUUAGACGUUACCUGCAGAAUAAGCACCGGCUAACUCUGUGCCAGCAGCCGCGGUAAUACAGAGGGUGCGAGCGUUAAUCGGAAUUACUGGGCGUAAAGCGAGUGUAGGUGGCUCAUUAAGUCACAUGUGAAAUCCCCGGGCUUAACCUGGGAACUGCAUGUGAUACUGGUGGUGCUAGAAUAUGUGAGAGGGAAGUAGAAUUCCAGGUGUAGCGGUGAAAUGCGUAGAGAUCUGGAGGAAUACCGAUGGCGAAGGCAGCUUCCUGGCAUAAUAUUGACACUGAGAUUCGAAAGCGUGGGUAGCAAACAGGAUUAGAUACCCUGGUAGUCCACGCCGUAAACGAUGUCUACUAGCCGUUGGGG
rnacentral:rRNA from 1 species